UACGAAGGUGGCAAGCGUUACUCGGAAUUACUAGGCGUAAAGGGCAGGUAGGUGGUCUGAUUAGUCUGUUGUGGAAGCUCCCGGCUCAACUGGGAGAGGUCAACAGAUACUGUCAGGCUUGAGUAUAGGAGAGGUUACUGGAAUUCCCGGUGUAGCGGUGAAAUGCGCAGAUAUCGGGAGGAACACCAAUGGCGAAGGCAGGUAACUGGACUAUUACUGACACUCAGCUGCGAAAGCUAGGGGAGCAAAACAGG
rnacentral:rRNA from 1 species